ensembl:lncRNA
AUGCUUUCCAACACAUGUAAUGAAGCAAAGAGUUGUUAUUUUAUUGCCUUGAGGAACCCAGGCAGAAGGAUGCAAUAGGGAAGGCCCAUAAGAAGGGUCAGUGCGCCGGCUUGUUUGCAAGAGUUGGCUCUGUGCUCCUCAAAGCCAGUUAACUCCAUCCUUCGCUGAUGUCCUUAAAAGAACCUGCAACCAAGAGCAGAAACCCAGUUGGAGCCACGCAGGUGCCCCUUUCUAUCACGGAGAUAAAAGCUGUGACACAGCCUGGCAGAGCCCAGGAGCUGCUCCCAACCUCUCAUCCCAUCCUCGUGCCCUCCAUCAGAAAACUACAGCCCGAGGAAGCGGCUCGGAGGCAUCUCGAAGACUUGGAUCUGGUUCCUGGCCUCGCGGAAUGAGAAUCCGGAGACUGUGCUCACAUUUCCAUGGCUGGGGGUGAUCUCCGUUCUGUGGCAGGAGCCUGGAGCCCGGGGAUUGAAGAGCUCUGCUCCUCGGCUUGUGAGACAGAAUGACCGCAGGUGCUGAGAGAGAGCAGGAAAUCAUCUUUGUAAAGCUGUCCAGAAAGCCUUGAAUUCAGCCUUAUCUGGAGGAUUACCCCACGCUGUUCAGUUCUUGGCAUUCAGCUCCUCUGCAGUCCCCAGCUUCAGCACAGGAAACUCCUUCACCUAGCUGCUGCCAGCAUGCUUUUGGCGACCCUGGCUGUCCCGUCAGCUGUUACAGGCCAUUAAAGGAUUUGUUUCUCGGCGUAUGAAAAGGCUUAAUUCAAUUCUCAUUCUCUUCUGGCAUUCCUCGGAGAGCCUUCUAGGCUGUCAUCUACUUCUGGCUUCGCUCAGACUCUGCAGUCCAAAGAGUCAUGUGCAGUGACCCGCCACCAUCCCUGCUUCAGACUCCAGAGUCAGGUAGUUAGAUGAUUCCCUUUCAUGUAAGUACUUUUUUAUCUUUCUUAUCUGUGGAGGGAAGCCAGCACAAGUCAUCUUUGAAGGUAAGGAAAAUGGAACCAAUGUUUUGUAUCCCAGAAAUCUCAUUAUUUUCCAACUAAUCUGCUGACCUCGAAUGCAGGGGUUUGGCAGUUUCUUUAAGGGCUGUUGCUAAACAGAGCAGAAGCAGGUCCAUCUUGGGAAAGUCUGCAUGGGUACAAUAUGAAUUUUCUGUAAGGUGAAUUCUUUGGGCUGUGUCAGAAUGAGACACUGUGGGUGACUUGCCUUUGUCUCAAGCUUGAUGGUAGUUGCCUUUGUCUCAAGCUUGAUGGUAGAUUUCACAAGAGGAAAAAAGUGUGUUUAAGAAGUUACUUGAUGCUGAUCUGUCCAGAGUUUUUUUCCCAGGCUGGAUUUAGGGAAGGAUUAUCUCAGAUUUUCAUUUAGUUCUGAAAUCCUGGGUAUUGGUUUUAUAAACUAAACCCCCUUCGCAGCAGGUUGCUUGUUCUGUAUUGUUGUUUUAGCUUGGUGCAUAGAAAGGAAUUUAAAUUCACUGACAGGGUGGGGCUAGCUCCUCGCUGGGGUAAAUCAGCAUAGUUCAGAUAUUUAAAGGCAGAUGCAUCAGUCCUGGCAGCCGAGGAUCUGGCUUACUUUGAUUAAAAUCUGAUGAAGAUUACUCAGCCUUACCAAGGGACUUGGAUUACCAUUCUAUAAAAAGAAGGGCAGGAGAGCAGAGGACAUUAAAUAUAAAAAUAAUCCAACGAAGGAUGUGAAGCUAAAAGCGUGGCACGUUGAACAAUGAUGCAAACACCCUACUGAAACAGGUGGAGGGCCGCAGGGCUGGUGGGUGCACGCAAGGCUGGAAGCUAGGUUUGAGUCAGAAAGACAUUGCUCUUGUCACAGCCCUGGUCUUGUCUUUUAAAGGCAGAAUGUUCAGAAAGAGAGCCUCGCUCCUUAGAAAAUCCCCAGCGGAGUCUUGCAGGAGAAGAAGUGGGUGACAAAUCCUCUGCCUCUGCUUCCUCGGGGACCCAGGCUAGUGCCAAAUCUCACUACAAAGAGGUGAUUAGAGCUGAGGAACAGAAAGUCAGCUCUUACAGAUCUGAAAGCUUGAAAUGUGCAUCGUCUUUAGGGUUUCUUACAGAGGUUGAACUUCACCUCUCCCUUCUAUCGCAGCGUUCGUUUUCCUGGUUCUUUGUUCCUUUGAAAGCAUGAAGUGUAUUUAGGGGCUGUUAUUACUCCACGUGAUUGUGCUCCAUGGGCAGUGACCGAUAGAAGGGCUGCAAUGAGCCCUUUUUUUUUUUGGCCUUUUAAACGUUUCUGUCAAACCUUUCAGCACAUGUCUAGCUUUCCCAAGAUUUCGUAUCCAGUCCCUUAAAAUCAAUACAGUCUGGUCUUGCCUCUGCAGUGGAGCUAUUGAUAGGGAAGAUGCACUUGGGUCUUCAUCUAACUGCCUUUUGAAGCCCCUAAACCCAUUUGUCUCUUCUUUUGAUGGAGCUUGCUGCCUUGCUCAAUGGCUUGCUUGCAUAGGAAGCACCUUCCUUGCUGACCUCUGUUAAAAACGUGGAAGGUCUUCAAGUAGAGUUGCAGGACUUGUGAUUUGAGUGUCCUUCUUUACCCAGACCAAGGAGAACAGAGUGCAUGGUGCGUUGGCCAUUCUGGAAUCUGUCUAGGGUGGCUGGAAGAUGCUUUAAUGGUGUCAGAAGGCUCCGGGAGCCUGGACAGUGAGGUUGAGCGGCCUUAAGAACGUUGCUGACUUAAACUGACGCAUCUAAAUGCGCUGGAGGAAAGACGAGAGGGCUGUUUGGGGACCUCCUGGGUGAUUACAUACAUGGCUGGUCAGCGACAUCGCCUGAGUGCCCCGGCAGCUAUGCCAGUCUUCCAGUUUUCUUUCAUUGCAGUUCGGGUCGGAUGAGGAUAAGAUUGUGUUUUAAUAAGUGUUUGUUAGGGAGUGCUUCCCCCCCCGCCUCCCACCCGCAUGAAACUGUUUAUUUUCCUUGCAGUAACACGUGUGUUGCUCAGCUUCUGCUGUUCCAUGUGUCGUGCUCUGUUACUCUGCCUUGCUCGCAGCCGCAGAGCAGGGGGAACGCUGCCAAGGCUUUUUCUGGGAAUUUGCUCUGGUCGUGCUGCUUCCCCGGGAGCACUCAGCGGAUGCAUGUUGUUUGCAGGGGGGGGGGAACACUCAAAUGUCAGCAUCUGAAGGGAUCACGAAGGAAGCAAGGCGAGCACCAACUACUCUUCCACCUCUCAGAGGUGCCUGCAUACACACAGCCUUGGUAAGUGGUGGGCGAUGACUUGUUGAGAAAUGAUAUUGCUAAGCAGUAAAUGUGACCCUCUUGUGCUAUUUCAGAAAGAGAUUUUGCGUAAGGCAGCCUGCCCCAAAUUGCCAGCUGCAAAAAUGGGGGCUGCAUGUGGCAGUGAUACCCCAGCCAAGUUCACUCCUCUCUCUUGCUGAGAUGCAGUUGUAUUUUCACUUGGGCUGGAUGCAAAACAGUGCUUAAAACACCACAAAUUGAGAUGCAUUGGAGAACACCUUUUUAAGUCACCUGCCUUCUUGUUGCAGACACGAUUAUACCUACGCAGACUAAACUGCUGCAGGGAAGGCAGAGACGCAGUGCUCACUGCGGCUGCUUGGGCCGUUCAUUUGUUAGCAUGGGUUUGGAUUUCUGAUGACUCAGAAGGGAGCUCGGCUUCCUCUCAGCUAUUUGCAGAUCUAAAGAUCUGUUGUACUGUGGUUGUGAACCAGGACUCUGAACGUUGUGCAGAGCUGGGACCAAAAGCUGCCUCAGUCUCAGUAUGUAAAAGCAGUGAACUGGUUUCCACGUGUUGGCUUUCCACGUGUUGGGUUUGUAUGGGGCACUCACAAGCAACUCGCAGCAAAACAGUAAGGUGAGUGCUUGAGAGGGGUCCUUGCUGUUUGCAUGGGUUUCUUUCAGGCUAGGGUGAAGGUUAAAUAUUUCAAGCUUCUUGUUGAAGCCUCAGGAGUAGAAUUAGAGAGAUGAAUGCGGUGCAAAUGCCCUAACUCCAGGGGCAGGUGCUUCACUGCUGUGAGAGCUGGCAAUGCUAAAUAUCUCAUACUUUCUGACAUACAAUUUCUUCCAGACCUGGAGUGUUUUACCCAUUAUCCUCAUAUACAAAACCUGAGGAAUAUGUGGUGGUAAAGCCCCUCUUUGUGUGGUACAUACACGUGAGUCUUUUGUACCAGAUUUGUAACAGCAGCUGCAGAGCUCUUCACCAGAACCACAUGGUAAUGGUAAGCAGUGGUCACUGGUUUGCAUAGCUCCAUGGCCUGCAGCACCUCUGUGCACCCACUGCAGGUACGUAGCCUCAGCUCUGGGUACAGUACGUCUCUUCACGCUGUGCUCUGAGCUCCUGGGCUACACUUGAUCAUCUAUUCCUACGUGGGUUUUCCUACCUGGGUUUUCUCUUUCCAAGGUCUCAGACCCAGCUGUACCACCCUUCCCUCUUAUCUUCAGCUUGCUUUCCUGAGAAAACAGGGUUAAUGUGUCUGGCUCCCUCUUGCCCACCCCUAAUAACUUUCCAGCCUGAUGACUGAUUCCAGCUGUGUGUGCCAGAGAUCUGAAAGAUAAUGAGUUCCUACUGGCUUGAUAUAAAUAGAUGGCGAGGGGAAGACUUUAUCUUUUCCCCUCUCUGUCGGGAGAGUUCAUUCCUUAUCAGUCCAAGAGCAUCUGUGUGAGGUGAAACAAGAGAUGUUAUGAAUGCCUAUGGGGAAAGCUGCACUUGAAGCUGGUAUCCUACUGCGUCCUGGAGAACCCACCUGUGAUGUGGGGGUUCCCAUUGGAGGGGGCCCUUCCAGCCUCUGGCAGUUGGCUGGGGGCAGCUUUCCCUGCAGCAGCACUUGCCUCCCCCAGGCCACUCUGUUUAAUCUAUUUAAAGCUCUUUAAUCAAAACCUAUGUCUACGGACCCUGGUGUCAAUGGCCCAGCUUCCGGGUUUUUUUUUUUUUUAACUAUUUUAUGUCCACAGCAUGGGAUGGACUUAAUUGCCAAGGGCUGGAAGCGGGACUGCAAAGGUAUUUUAAUUACAUCUGAUUGCUGCAUUCUGCAGCCUUGCUCUGUCAGUUGUUCUACCACGGCACUGUGUAGAGCCCACUUGGACCAGCGCAGGCACAUUGGCUGUGUGUGGGCUGAUCACAGAGGAAAACAGCAGUACAUCGGUCUGGACGUCAUUGGGGCUGUAUCUUUUCUCUCUACUCUGACUUUAGGGCAACAGAUUCUUCCCCAUUAGAGUACUGUAGUCCUUCCAUAUCCACGUCACUUAGAAGCAGUAGUACCAAAUUCACCCUGCUCUAUUGCAUGGGCAUCACACAGGCAGAGCAGGAGUACUUGCUCUAAGGAGAACCUGCUUUAUUGCUCCAGACACAUCCCUGCAAGACUUUUCCCCAGCUCCUUUGUUGGUUUCAAGGCUGGUCAGCCUCAAGGGUCUUCUCUUUUUUUUCUGUCAAGUAGGAGUGCUCUUUUACUGUAAGGGAAGGAGCUGUCUCUAAGUCUAUUCGAGGGAGGCAGGAGGGAGUGAAACAAGAAAGCUGCUGGCCUCUCUGUGCUGACAUACUCAAAUUGGACCCUUGGGGGCUGGAUUGGUGCAUGGAGUAAGCUGAAUCCCAUGGAGGGACAGGCAGGAGCCCUGCAGGUAAGGUAAAGCACCUGCUUGGAAGUGUCUGCUCACCAAUGGAGAGCAGCUCCAGCCAAGCGUGUAUGAAACGAGGGUAACUAUUGCAUCUUCACCUGGCUCUAGCUGUAUUUUCAGUAGUGCUCAGGCCUGGCAGUAUGCGCACCUCUACCUGGAUGUUUUCUGGUGCAUUCAGCAAGUGGCAGCUCCCAGAGCCCAGACUCUGACCUGCCUUAUCAAAGUGUUCAGCACGCAGAAGGCAGAGAAAGGGCUUGAACCUGACCCAGGGCCUGGGGAAAGGAAAGUCCAAAGAGGAGGAGGGCAGAGGUAAGGCUGUUUUUGUGCAGCUGCUAAUAAGCACUUCCGUUCCUGCCAAAGCUUUUACUUCUGAUUUAAGAGGAACCUCAAUAUCCACAAUUUUUCUAUGUUGGAACGUGUUUGUGUUUUUAACAACGCUCAUCUGUGUUUCUUCCUCUUAAUAGAUGCAACCCUGCUGCAGAUUAUAGACGUGUUUUGGUUGAGAUUCUCUGUGCUUGAUGCAUUGUCUGCCUGCAACGCAGGGCAAACUCUACUCCUCCCUUCUGGCCCGGCCUGUAAUGAUGGAUUAAGUAGGUAAGUAAUAGAGUGGUAAUGAGAUAACCACUGACAUCGAGCAUUAACGUGGGAAUAAAUGAAGUUACCAUCCAGAACUAAUGGCCUGAACUAUCACUGGGUUGUAAUUAAUGAACGUGGUGGCUGAGAUUUACAAGGAUAUUUUAGGAUGCUGUUUGCAUGCAGCUUUGGCUUUUAUGGCUUGGUUGGAAAGAAAUCAAUUAAUGCCAUGAACUUAAUGAAUGAGAUGACGAUGUGCUUUGUCAGAUUGUAGUGCCCCUUUUGUGGAAGCGGCUAGACUGGUGUGCACGUGGAAUGCUGUUGUUUGCCUUACUUCAAGGGACGGAAGAAGUUAGGAUACUGUGAUCUCUGUCUCCCUAGGUCACUUACUCUGUAGUGUGUAGUGGAGCUGUUGCAAAGUGUCUCUGAUGGCCAAACUACACACUAGUGGUGUGCCUGUGCUCAAGAGGCCUUGCUUGGAGAGCUGUCCCUCUCUCCUUGCAUGGCUUAGUAGGCAUGUGACCCUGCCAAACACUUUGGAUAUGUGUGAAUAACACUUUUGAGGUGGUUGCUAGGCUGUUGCAGAAAACACAGAAGAGCAGUCAAAAUUCUUCACGUUAAUUGGUGGGAACAAUCCAGCCAUCUCUGCUGACUGUUGCUUCUCUCAUCUUUCCAUGGCAACAGUCUCUCUACAGCAGCCCAGGUGCUCAUGGUUGGGCAUGCUGGGAUUUCUGAGCCCUCUGUCUUCCAAAUCACCCCCUUGGAGCAUGGAGGGAACAUCUGUACCGCUAAAGUAUGGCAUCACACGAUGCAUCAAAGACAUCUCUUUGUGUAAUCAUGUUCCUUAUGCUGUCAGAGACAGAAAACUUUGGGAACGUGAACUGAACCCUUACAUUUCUUCAGUGCAAAUGCUGUUGCCCUGUUUUUUGAUGAGGAGAGGAAGGUGCUGAGUCUUUCCUGUCCUGGCCGUGUCCAUGGACCGAGCUGUCAUACCAUUCUGAGAGCUGGAGGAAGGAAAGGGACUGGUAAGCAAAGGGAAGGAUGAUGUCUCUCUCUCUGCCACAGAGCCCAGCCUGACUGCUGGUGUCAAGUUGCCUUUUGGAAGCCAGGAUGGUGGCUGGAGGUGAGAAUAAGGAGAGAAAGUGGCUCAGGCACUGCAUCGUCCUCACCUCUGCUCCCUGCUGUGAAUAUAAGCGUGUGGAGAUAGCACAAAGAGGGGUGCUGCCCACUUCUAGCAGGGUAGAGUAGGUAUGGAGGAGGCAUCCCUUCUGCCUUGCCUCUCUGAAGCAUGUUCCAGGCAUGUUCUAGCACCAUUUUCUCUUCUGGGACCUGUUUUACAGGCACUUUUAAUGAUUCUAGGGGAAAAUGAGAGACAGAUGGCCAGUGAUGAACCCAGUCCAAAGCUGCCCAGACUUGAGGGAGGGUGUCGUUUCAGCUGGAAGCAUCACAUCUUUGAGGUGCACGCUCAGUAGUUCCCUUCCACGCUGAGCAGGAGGAAGGAAUUUCCACCUGCUGGACCAGCGUAAGCCAAGACCCAAAUUGAGCAAAGUAUGGUUCAUGGAUUUACACAUUAUGUGAUAUGCACCUUCCCUUCCCCCAGCUUUGGGAAGUUUAUUGCCCCCAACAAAGUAUGCCGUGUGGCAGGCUGUUAUGUGACAGGGGAAAAUUACCCAGACUGUUCUCCAGAAGGCAAGUGAGCAAAAAUUUUCCUCCAACUGGUUCAGGACAAAGUUAAUGUAGGAAAGCCAUUAAAAUUAAUGCUGGUAAUCAAGGAUAAAAACCAGCAGGGCUGUAACAAAAUUUGGACCAGAUUGAGUUUCCCAGCUGUCAUGCUGCAUGCUUUCUUAAAGGCAGCAGGCAGAGGGAGGGUGUAGUGUAAGGCAGGCUUGGAAAGUUCUUGUCAAGGGUGUGAGUUUGGGGGCAUCUGGAUUCUGGUGGCAUUGGCUCCUUGGUCCGGCACUGUCUUUUUUUGUUUUUGAGGAAGCAAUGUCUCUGCUUGGUCUGAUGGUCCUUAUGACUUGUGUUUUAUUCAUAUCAUGUUUACCUGCUUUCUUCCAGAGUCUGCCCUCAGAAUUCAGGUCCUUCUCCAGGACUCUGGGAACCUGCCUGCGUGUGAUUGACGGCAUCACGUGAGCGUGUAUGGGGCUGCAUCUCAUGCUGUCGGGUCAGAGAUUACCUCCAAGCAGCCAAUACUCAAUGUUCAGUUAGAAAAGAUGCAAAGAAGCAGAGCCAUUCCCCUCUCUGUGUCAUCUGCCUCUGAGAGUGGGAGAGUGCUGGCAGAGCGCUACCGGGUCUGUACUGGUAUAGAGAGGAAGGCUCAGAUUUGAUGAUUUGUCCAUUAUCUGGUGGUGGAUACAGCCUAACCUGGGCUCAGAGCAUCCCAAGGUCUGUAUCCUAGUGCAGGAACUGGCUGCUGCUGCUCUCUUCUGAAUAGACAGCUUUCUCCAGCCUCACAGCAUGCUAAUGUAGGCCAGUCACCUUCACCACAACUCCUGGCGCAAGAUAUUCAGCAGACUUGAUGCUUCAUAGUAGGCUGAAUCUGGUAUAACCAAGGCAGAAUUUCUACCUGCCAGUAGUGAAGUAAUGCCCUGUGAUUUCAAGUGACCACUGGUUUGACAGCAGUAGUGAAAGGGAAAGGCAUGAAUAGGCCGGAUAUCAGGAAAACCUUCUCAGGAGUGAUGAGGCUGUGAAAUGGACUGCCCAGGGAGGUGGUGGAGUCACUGUCCCUGGAGGUGUUCAAGAACUGUGGAGACGUGGCACUGAGGGACGUGGUUUAGUGAGCAAUAAUGGUUGAUGGGUGGACAGCUGGAUUAGAUGGGUCCGACUAGAGGUCCUCCAAUUAGAGGUCUUUUCCAAUCUAAAUGAUUCUAUGAAAGCAGUCGACCGUUUUCUUGCAGUCUCUGAGAAGCUUGGAUAUGGUGUCUGAAACGAGCUAAGGAAGCCACCUAAUCUCUGAGCACAUCCACCUUCUGCAGCAUACACCCUUCCAGCCACAAAGAGGUCCUGAGUCCCUCAGUGGCUGCAAAGAACAGCAGGUAGAUGGAGCAGACAGAGAUGGAGAGCAUUCUUUUGUUGCUUUUUUUUGGGGGGGGGGGAGUAUCGUUGAAGAAUCAGGGUGACAAAAAUAUUUUGAUGGAAGUGACUAUGUGAAAUAUCUUUUCAUUUUGAUUAUUUGAAAAACAAAAACUGUUCAUGGGUUUUAAAAUUCAUGUCCCCUCCGGGUUGCUUUGUUUUGUUUUGUUUCUUAUUCCUUCUCCCUUAUUCCUCAGAGGAAGCCAUCCAAACCUACACGGUGCGUCAUUUCUUGAGGAAAUGCAGUGUGAUCUUUUUUUCCAGUUUAACCUGGGCUGAAAAAUCUUCUGGUGUUUCAUUUGCCUGAGAAAUCGGGAAAAAAAAAGCUUGGAUGAAACAGGAAUCUGGCUGGUUCACAGGGAACCUUCUUGGUUUUGGAGACCCACUUGGGUGGGGUAGCUGCAGGAGCUCUUUGUUGUGCAGGCUGGGGAGGAGGUGAUGCCAUCUUUGCCUGGGCCAUACUUUGUGCCCAAUGCCUCCUCCAGGGGUGAGGGGCAUAAGGGGUGCAGAGCUGUGUCUUGGUUGCAGCAGGGAACUGCUACCACUGAAGUAUGAUUCUCAGCUUUCUGGAGUUGUGGAAAACAUCUGGACAAUGGUUGAAAUUGGAAGAGCGAAGGGCUAUCCUGGCUUUUGAGGGCAUAUCAUGGGAUGUCCCGCAGGUGGCUUGUUGGAGGUGAACCACAGAGGGAGGACUGCACUGGAGAGGCAUAGAGGCUCACAUGGGACGGGAGUGGUGGCAACUGCCUGUAUGCCUGGAAGCAGGGCAAGCAGUGGACUGGGGGUGGAGGAGACCACCUCCGCCUGUUGCUGCCAUCUCCACGAGCUGCCAGCUCUGCCGUGUAGCUUUGCCCAGAUCUGCAGUAGAGCUGCUCAUCCCCAGCCCUGCCAUCCCUGUGCCCCACAUGCUGCCUCUCCUAUAAAUAGCCGGAUGGGAAGCAGAGCGCAGAGCCGCCGCAGAUGGCCCCCAGUUCCACGCGCACUCAUGUGUGAGAUCCCAGAGAGGGGCUGUCAAUUCCUUGCCUACAGCCACCCAUGCAACCUCAUUAAGGAUGGUGUCGUCUUCCUUAACCCCCAUCGCCCCCUCCCUCCCCACUUCAACGUGCCUCCAUUUGAGCACCCUUAUUAAACGUGCACUUCUAAGCAAGGAGCGCUGACUUCCCCUUAAUUGAGGCAUAAUAAUUAGAGCAUUAACACAUUAGGAGGGUGAGACAGCAUGUUUAGCUUUUGUGAUUAAUUAUCUGAGGAUUGUAAUAAGUUGUUAAGACAUUAAUUACUCUGGCAUGUUUAUUGCUCUUUAUUGCAGAACUGACACUUGGUGGAAGAGUUGCUGGUGUGCCUGGCGGUGCACCGUGAGGUGGGCUGGCCAGGGGAGACCUCUGCUCCCCCAUAGGCACUGAGCUGCUGCUUGGGAAUGGAUCUAGGGGAGCAGAAACAGCUCCUGAACCUCCAGCAGGACACCUCGGGAUGGAAGUGGUGUCUGAAUCUCUUAGAGUCGUAGGAUUAUGAAGGUUGGAAUAAAACACUGAGAGCAUCAGCCCAUCCCCACCGUGCCCACUAAACCAUGUCCCUCAAUGCCGCGUUCUCCCUCAUCUUGGGGCAGCCUGGGAGCUGGAAGGCUUAUUUUUAUGGAUGGUUUCAGCUGGAUUUCUCUCUUCUUUCAAACAAAGUGUUUCCUCUCGGAUGGUUUGAGCCUGCCCUCAUUUGGAUCUUUGUUUUUGCAAAUCCAAGUCAGCGUGGCUCAUUGUGCCUGGAUCUGAGGAGGAUGGCUGUCUGUUAACGACAAGCUGAAGUUCAGCGUGUCGGCGGUGGUCAGGGAGUGAACCAGGACCCCAGUGGCCUCGCUUGGCUCUUGAUCAGAUGAAUUUUCUUCUGGAGAGCUGGGAGGUGGGUUAGGGAAGGCUGUUGCUGUGGCAGCAGGAGUGGAUCAGCCCUCUGCAGCCUGUUCUUCACACAGCAAGCUGCUCAGCGACCUGUCAGAGCUGUGCUGAUCAGAUGGGGGCUGAAGGCAGAGUUCAGAGCAGGAGGAUGGGUGGGUCCAUGUGCUGCUGUGACAGAGAAAAAAGGAAGCAGGAGGCUGCGAUGGGCCUGUUCCAGCCUUCUGCUUUUCCCAUGAGUUGCACAGUGCCAGAGUCUUGCUGUCCAGCUCUUUGGGUGGGGGACAGCACAGGAGAAAUGGGGGGAAAUGGAGUAACAGCCCCAGCCACUGGCAUGGAGAAUAAAACUGGGAAAAUGGUGAAAGUCGAGAAGGUGAGAAAGCUGUGAGUUUUGUGUGUUUGCUGUUGGUUUGAUAUUGGAUGGCCCCAUCCCUGCCGACAGCCAAGGUCAGGCUGGAUGGGCUCUGAGCACCACUAGGGCUGUGAGUGUCCCUGCUCAGUGCAGGAGGGUUGGACCAGAUGGCCUCUGAGGGUCCUUUCCAGCUCAAAACGAUGCUGUGGUUCCUUGGGGAGCCCUAGAGCUGAAAUGUCUGGUUUCCAGCCUAUGGCAGUGCCCUUGUGGCUUUGCAGCACGUGCUUGUGUCUUGGGUAGCAGCCAAGGGAGUGGGAGGGGGUCUUUAAAUGUGAAGACCCUGUCCGGUUCGCCUUUCCUAAGGACAGACUGUCUCACUGUGGCUCCCACCAGCUCAAUCUGCUGUCACUGUGUCACUGGCACUGGUGGCCAGGGAGCUGCACAAGGCACUGAAUGCCCUCCUCGUGUGCGAGCUGGGAUCCAUCUUGUGUCAGCUGCCUUCAGCACCUCCGAGCCCACACUGCCUCGCUGUAGCCCAGCCUGAAUAUGGCAUUUGCUGUCAGGUGGCUGAUUUCUGCCUGCAGAAUAUGGAGAGCGUCAGCCUGGCAUUUCCCACUUGCCUCCUAGGGACAAAGCAGGUCAUGACUUCCGUGUAUUAUCAUUAAAAAGAUAAUUUCCUCUAGAUGUGUGCAAUAAGACAAUGGUGCUGACCUGUGAUCCUGGCAUUGCACAGCAUUAAUGAUUUCCCUUUGCAGGUAAUAAGCAGCAAAUGUACACAUUUUGGGGAGAUCUGAAUUAGUUUUUUUCCCUCCUUUUAAGACUGCUGUCUUCCUAGGCCAGACUUAAUUAGCAGACCUCAUUAUUUCCUGAAAUGUAACUUGACUUCCAUUGAAUGAGAAUUGUUCAGUGGAUGGGGAGCAGCAGAGCGGUGCUGCAAUAUUCAUAUUGUUUAAAUUGCAACAUUAACAUUUCAUGCCGCUCUUGGCAUAUUUUCAGGUGCGGCCCUUUAGCU